GUGCUUGCUUCAGCAACAUAUAUAUUAUAAUUGGAACGAUAUAGAGAAAAUUAGCGUGGCUCCAAGGAUAGCAUGCAAAUUCGUUAAAUACUCAUUU
rnacentral:snRNA from 1 species